rnacentral:tRNA from 1 species
UCCUCAGUAGCUCAGUUGGUCAGAGCAUCUGACUGUUAAUCAGAGGGUCGCUGGUUCGAGCCCAGCCUGGGGAG